rnacentral:rRNA from 1 species
UACGUAGGUGGCAAGCGUUGUCCGGAUUUACUGGGCGUAAAGAGCGCGCAGGCGGUCGUUCAAGUCGCGUGUGAAAGCCCCCGGCUCAACUGGGGAGGGUCACGCGAUACUGAUCGACUCGAAGGCAGGAGAGGGUAGUGGAAUUCCCGGUGUAGCGGUGAAAUGCGCAGAUAUCGGGAGGAACACCUAUUGCGAAGGCAGCUCGCUGGGACGUUACUGACGCUGAGACGCGAAAGCGUGGGGAGCAAACAGG